rnacentral:rRNA from 1 species
AGAGUUUGAUCCUGGCUCAGGACGAACGCUGGCGGCGUGCCUAAUACAUGCAAGUCGAACGCCUCUUUUCCCACCGGAGCUUGCUCCACCGGGAAAAGAGGAGUGGCGAACGGGUGAGUAACACGUGGGUAACCUGCCCAUCAGAAGGGGAUAACACUUGGAAACAGGUGCUAAUACCGUAUAACAAUCGAAACCGCAUGGUUUCGUUUUGAAAGGCGCUUUACGGUGCCGCUGAUGGAUGGACCCGCGGUGCAUUAGCUAGUUGGUGAGGUAACGGCUCACCAAGGCCACGAUGCAUAGCCGACCUGAGAGGGUGAUCGGCCACAUUGGGACUGAGACACGGCCCAAACUCCUACGGGAGGCAGCAGUAGGGAAUCUUCGGCAAUGGACGAAAGUCUGACCGAGCAACGCCGCGUGAGUGAAGAAGGUUUUCGGAUCGUAAAACUCUGUUGUUAGAGAAGAACAAGGGUGAGAGUAACUGUUCACCCCUUGACGGUAUCUAACCAGAAAGCCACGGCUAACUACGUGCCAGCAGCCGCGGUAAUACGUAGGUGGCAAGCGUUGUCCGGAUUUAUUGGGCGUAAAGCGAGCGCAGGCGGUUUCUUAAGUCUGAUGUGAAAGCCCCCGGCUCAACCGGGGAGGGUCAUUGGAAACUGGGAGACUUGAGUGCAGAAGAGGAGAGUGGAAUUCCAUGUGUAGCGGUGAAAUGCGUAGAUAUAUGGAGGAACACCAGUGGCGAAGGCGGCUCUCUGGUCUGUAACUGACGCUGAGGCUCGAAAGCGUGGGGAGCAAACAGGAUUAGAUACCCUGGUAGUCCACGCCGUAAACGAUGAGUGCUAAGUGUUGGAGGGUUUCCGCCCUUCAGUGCUGCAGCUAACGCAUUAAGCACUCCGCCUGGGGAGUACGACCGCAAGGUUGAAACUCAAAGGAAUUGACGGGGGCCCGCACAAGCGGUGGAGCAUGUGGUUUAAUUCGAAGCAACGCGAAGAACCUUACCAGGUCUUGACAUCCUUUGACCACUCUAGAGAUAGAGCUUCCCCUUCGGGGGCAAAGUGACAGGUGGUGCAUGGUUGUCGUCAGCUCGUGUCGUGAGAUGUUGGGUUAAGUCCCGCAACGAGCGCAACCCUUAUUGUUAGUUGCCAUCAUUUAGUUGGGCACUCUAGCAAGACUGCCGGUGACAAACCGGAGGAAGGUGGGGAUGACGUCAAAUCAUCAUGCCCCUUAUGACCUGGGCUACACACGUGCUACAAUGGGAAGUACAACGAGUCGCGAAGUCGCGAGGCUAAGCUAAUCUCUUAAAGCUUCUCUCAGUUCGGAUUGUAGGCUGCAACUCGCCUACAUGAAGCCGGAAUCGCUAGUAAUCGCGGAUCAGCACGCCGCGGUGAAUACGUUCCCGGGCCUUGUACACACCGCCCGUCACACCACGAGAGUUUGUAACACCCGAAGUCGGUGAGGUAACCUUUUUGGAGCCAGCCGCCUAAGGUGGGAUAGAUGAUUGGGGUGAAGUCGUAACAAGGUAGCCGUAUCGGAAGGUGCGGCUG